UACGAGGGGGGCGAGCGUUGUUCGGAAUUAUUGGGCGUAAAGGGUGCGUAGGCGGUUUGGUAAGUCUGAUGUGAAAUCUAUGGGCUCAACUCAUAGUCUGCAUCGGAAACUGCCGGGCUUGAGUGUGGGAGAGGUGAGUGGAAUUCCUGGUGUAGCGGUGAAAUGCGUAGAUAUCAGGAGGAACACCAAUGGCGAAGGCACCAUCCUGGGAAGCAUCUGACGCUCAGGUGCGAAAGCUAGGGGAGCGAACGGG
rnacentral:rRNA from 1 species